rnacentral:rRNA from 1 species
AUUGAACGCUGGCGGCAGGCUUAACACAUGCAAGUCGAGCGGGGGAAGGUAGCUUGCUACCGGACCUAGCGGCGGACGGGUGAGUAAUGCUUAGGAAUCUGCCUAUUAGUGGGGGACAACAUUCCGAAAGGAAUGCUAAUACCGCAUACGUCCUACGGGAGAAAGCAGGGGAUCACUUGUGACCUUGCGCUAAUAGAUGAGCCUAAGUCGGAUUAGCUAGUUGGUGGGGUAAAGGCCUACCAAGGCGACGAUCUGUAGCGGGUCUGAGAGGAUGAUCCGCCACACUGGGACUGAGACACGGCCCAGACUCCUACGGGAGGCAGCAGUGGGGAAUAUUGGACAAUGGGGGGAACCCUGAUCCAGCCAUGCCGCGUGUGUGAAGAAGGCCUUAUGGUUGUAAAGCACUUUAAGCGAGGAGGAGGCUCUUUUGGUUAAUACCCAAGAUGAGUGGACGUUACUCGCAGAAUAAGCACCGGCUAACUCUGUGCCAGCCGCCGCCGUAA